CCCCCGCCCCGCCGGGACCUGCCGCCCCCCGGCGCCCGCCCUCAGAAGAUGGCGGUUCCCUCCGGAUCCCCCCCGGCUGCGUGAGGGGAGGGGCGGGCGCUCCCAGGGCCGCGUCCCGCCUUGUGAUCUAACAACGGCAACCGGCACGGAGCCGAGGGCGGGAGGGGGAGCGGUGCGGAGCCCAUCUGGUGCGGAAAGCGGCCCCUCGGGCUGCGGGCAGGUAGCGGGGCGCUGCCACUCGCACGUGUCGGCGGCAGAACGGCAUUUCUUCAGCGAGGUUUGCGGCUGCCCUCCAGAGCUGCUCUCCUCAUGAUGCCUCAGGCUGGACUGGGUUGUGUGGAUCAAGCUGCAGGCCCUUGAGCCAUCUCUAGAAUGCACAUUAGAUGGGAGUCCCUCAGGGCUACCAACAGCUAAAGACUUACCUUGCUGCAGUCCCAAUAAGGCUGUUCUAGCAAUCCUGCUGUACAGAUUGUGUUUCCACUGCAUGAGCUGCCUCUUUACUCUUUGUCAUUAUCCGUAACCACCACAACCUCCGGGUCUCUGCUCUUAUAAACCAUCCUGCUAACAUGAGUGGAGAAGAGCAAUAUCAGAAGGGGGAGACUCAGUCUCUUCUGAGAAAUUACAGAACUACCAUUCAGCCCCAGAAUCAGCAGAGUACCCCGCAUUCAGGUGGCAGGAAUGACAUGGAAGUCAUCUGAAUCAUGUUUAGGAAUGAAGAGACAAAGUGAAGAGAGAAGAUAUGUUUUUGGAUUCAGGAAUUUCUAGGAAAAGAAAAAAAGAAGAAAAGCUAUAUUAUUUUCGGACACAAAGGACCUUUAUUUCUCUCUUAAAUUUUCUGUCAAAGAGAGACUUCUCAAAGUCAGUUGUGAAAACAACAGUGCUCAUUACCCCACUGGAAUUUAUAAGCUGGACAGGGAACCUGAAGGUUGUCUCUCUUCAAAGAGACAAUUCAAAAUACUACAAAACCCUAGGAAAUUAAAUGCAGUUCUGUCUGGCCAGGACCUGAGCAGGAUAGAGGAGGAACUGUCAAAAAAGGGAACUAAAACUGCUGUUACCUGCUUUUAACAUGUUAUAUAGAAGUUCGGAGUUUCCUCACUGCAGUGAGGCUAGGCUUGAAACAAAUAGAAUUGAACAGAAAACAUACCCUGAUUGGUCUCCUGUAGUCAGUCUUCCAAUCAAGACUGAAGCAUGCAAUCAUCUACUUGGUGAAUGUCUGGUAAAUAAAGUAUGAUGGCCUUUAAAGUAGAGGAUAUAUUAAUAAACAGAAGGAGGUCUUCUAGCCUUGUAGGGGAAAAGUCCUCAACUUACUUUACAAACUUCUAUCAGCUCACCGGCCUCGAAUGGGAGUGAUCUGGCAAUGAUGAAGUGGCUGCCUUGGAUGCCUUUUAGGGACCAUCUUUUGCUUUCUUGGUUGCUUGCCCUAGCCUGAUAAUCAGGAAUCCAUGAGAAAUGGUAGGAAAUGUUGGUUUACUGUGCAGGGUGACUACCUGGCAGUGAGGGUCAUAGCAGGCAGCAGGCAGUGCAGAAAGGAAUUCUCUUCAGAGAUCGUGAUCCCAUUCUUGUGACCUGUGUGAGCAAGAUCCUGCCCUGUGUAUGUUCCUGACUCUUUUACUCUACUAAUUUGCCACUUCAGACCCGGAAGGUACCCGAAUCCUCAUACAGGAAGCAUCAUGAAAUCUUUGUAUGGAUAAUGAGAGAGGAAAAGAGAGUGUAGUCAAAAACUCUAAAUCUUCCUUAGGGUUCACUAGAACAUGGCCUGGCUAUGAGGGGGGAAAUGGUAAAUGAUUUUCAAAGCUUUUUAAAAAAUCAUACAGGACAGUUGUAGGUAAAAACUUAUUUAGAUAUGAGUCCAGUGCAAUAAAAGCACUCUCAGAGGAGAGCUCUUUAUUUUAUAGUCAGUGAGGAAAUCCUGUGUUAUCUAUGUAAAUUAUCUAAGGCAGAAUAACACAAAUGUCUGCAGGGUACGCACGCACGCUCAAAUUGAUUGCCGACCUUUGUCAAUUGAGGAAAGCUUCAGUUCUCUUUCUCACUUCUGAGUCUCACCACAAACUUGUUUUGGCUGUCUUUUGAGGUUACUUAUACUGUUAAUAAAUUUCCAUCUGUACUUGUUUUUUCUUAACAUUACUUCUAGCACUUGACAUACAGAAACGUAGAGUAAAUUAGUAUGGGAGUCUUUGUGGCUUGCAAACUUAAGCCUGAGAGUUACUGCUGGAGAAGGGGGAACUGACAGUAAAUGCUAGGAGUGGACAAAAAACUGUCCCUACUAGUACUGUCUGCACUGUUGCCAUUACAGCUUGCUCUCUUCAUUUCUAAGGCAUUCCAGCAAGGAGGUGCUUUACCAGACAUCUCAGUUUCAGAAUGGAGAUGACACUUUGUCUUUUACACCACAGAAUUGUCCAGCUGGAGACAUCUGCCUGAGGCAGUUGCUAACUCUGCCUCCUCUUCCUUGGCCGGUUUUCUAAGGGCCAUAAGGUAGACUAAGUCACAGGUUCCCUUAUGAAGUUCUUGCACAGCUGCUCGUCUCCUUGGAUGUGGAUGUGGGUGAUCUGAGGGGUGUCAUGGAACUGGGGUGGAUGUGAACAGUCAGAGUUUGAGGGGUGAAAGGCUGUAGCACUGUCUGGUGUGAUGGCAAGGAAGUGGCCUUUCAGAGAGGUCAGGAGGUGAAGGAAAAGAAGUGGUGAGGACAGAAAGAGAGAAGAUGAAGGAGUAGCACGCAAAUCCUUUCUUGUUCCUCCUACAAAACAAGUCAUGCAAUACAGGACUGCCUGAUGAACUGUGUUUGUGAAAUCUGCUGAAAACUUAAGAGUUGAACUGUCGAGGGAAACCUGGCCUCAUCUCUCCAGCAUAUUGCUGUGCUGGAAGGUGGCAGACAGGAGAAGACUCAGAAAUCAGAUCAGCUCUAAGAUAUGCAGACCAUUCUCCUUGCAAUACAGAAAAUGUUAAAUCUAAAUCAGCAAAUUACUUUUACUUACGCGUUCUUGAGGUUUUUUCGUGCUGGCCACGGGCAGAAGUAGUAAUCAUUCAGGCCUGUGAUUGUUGCCUAUCUCAGUUGCUGCUGGCUAUGGAAAGGGAAUUGAGACAGCACAUCACAACAGACAUUUAUCUAUAAAGCAGGCAGUACAGAAAGCAGAUUUUGAGUAGCUAGAAACCCUGGGCUAAGAUGAAUGUGAGUAUAAAAGUCUGUCAUUUGAUGGAGAGAUAUGUUCUACUUAGUUUAAUUAGUGUUGAUUGAUUUUAUUUUGAUGCUCUCUCUGAUUUUGCAGGGUAGUGGACCUGUUCCAUCUUCCAUUUCAAACUGUGCUUUGUGCAUCAGGAUUUUAUUUUCAAAACUUCAACUCAGUUGUGGAUCUGAUUUUAUGAAGUUAUCAAAUAUAAGCACUUUCAGAAUGGUGGGCAGUAGAUUUAGAGUUGUAUCUCUGUCUUAUACUUCCUUUAAUAGCCAGACAACAUCUAGGGAGUUUGGAAAUUUUUCUGUAUGUCAGGGAAUUUUUCUAGAGACAGUUGUCAACAGUUCAAAUCUACUGCUUAGGUGAACUGUCUGCCUUCCAGAAUUGAGACACUGUUCUUUUUCAGAAGCAGAUGGGGUAAUUAUUGUAGCUGAACAUUAUUAAGCAGGCAAGACAGCAAACAUCCACACCAAAGAACAGAGCAUGGCGCAUCUCCUUUGAGGAGGAUAGCAUGUCAUAUCUGUAUUGGUGAGCUAAAUGGUACAAAAGUGGGGCACAGCUCCUGCAAAAUGACCACGAAAACGUUGUAGUCACUGGCCUUUAAGAACAGCCAUGCCUUCUGCACCAGUUUUAUGAGUCCAACCUCUCUUUCUUGGUAUUUAGUAAAAGCUUCUGAAAAUGAAACAUUCUGAUUCUAACUUACAAAAUUAAUUAAAAAAAAUUAAACUAAGAAGACCUCUUUAAGAUUUCCUUAGGGGAAAAAAAUGAAAUAAAAAGUAUUUUGUUCAAUACAAUCAUUGUUCUUAUGUAGUUCAGCUUAACCGCCGAUGUUCUUAACCAUCUGUUCAGGUCCAGUACCCAGAAAUGGGUGAGACUGGUACAUGGAGAUUUUGGCACUGUGUUUAGAAGCCUGUUUUUGUAUGUGGAUCUCUCCCAGAAUGACAGGCGCAUCCUAACUAUGUUCACUAAUGCUAUGGCUGGCACCUCAUUUUGCUAAAUCUAGCUGCCUCAGUCACCGUGACCCUGCAUACUGUUGGUUUGAAUUUAGCAUUCUGUGGGUUUCAAGCAUGCCAUUGUAUUUCCUAUGCUGUCAUCUAAAUAAUUAUGCAGUCUGUUCUCAUUGCAGUUGUCUUAGCAGUACAGCCUUAACUAUGCUUACAUCUUACCUAUUUAUGCACAACAUAGUAGUGAGUCAUUACCCUCCAACACUAGUGCUAUCCAUUUUAAAAUGCAGUCCUAAGUAUGAAAUUGCUGCCAGGCACUUUCUGAAUUCAUGGAAGGGUCUGGCAACAUUCGUCCAGUUGCAGGACAAUAGAUGCAAAGACUGUACUUGGAUAAUGCUCUUCAAUGUUAAGUUAGACUUGAUAUGAUAAUAGAGUUUCUUAGAGUGCAAUUUUAAUGUUUCUGAGUAUGUUAUGAAAAUAUGUGGGAAACUGUAAACAGAUGAAAAAGCAAAGCAUAAGGAUAUAAAUCAUCUUUGAGAUUAUUUCGGGAAUAACAGAGGCACUUGGCAUUAGAGAAAUGCGCAUGUCAGAAAUGAAUAUAGUUAGAAGCUGAAGGCUUACAGACUUCAGAGAGAAAACAGAAUGAAUUAAAACUAAAUCAAUACAGAAAGAUGUGUAUUAAGUUCCCAGUCUGCCUUAUUACUUACAGAGUUUAGGGAAACAAAAUAAUUUCAUUAAAUGGGCAGGGCUGGGAUAACUAACUGACUUUAACUCUUUGAAGAUAGCAUUUAUAGUGGUAAUAAAAAAUCCACUACAAGCAAAACAUUCUAGCUUUGAACUGUAUCGAUUUAAUCAUUAUUCUACCACUAAAAAGAAGGCAAGAAAAAAACCCAAAUAUUUAUUUAUGUGACAUUUAUCAACGGUAGUGGACUAAAUCAUAAGCACAAAUAAUAAAUCAAAUUAUUUGUGAUUAAUGGAAAUAAUAGGAAAAAAGUCGAAGAGAAAAAUAGGGGUUUGUCUGAAUUAUGUGCACUGUUAAUGUUUGGAGAGUAACAGAUGAUCUGAAUACGGCUUGUGAGUUCUUCAGUAUGUACAAAAGCCAGGAGCAUUUCAACAGAGACCUCUUCCAUUGUUGUUAGCAGCAGCUGAUCCCUACCAGGCUUUGUAGGAUUAGUGGACAGACAGUGACAGACUCUAGUAGAAAUGUACCGACCUGUGGAUGCCCCCAAGUUCAAUCAUUUUUUUCUGUAUGUGUUUGAGCAAAGCUGCACAAACUGUUUGAAGGUGUCUGCUAGUCUUUCUUUAGAUGUCAUCAUAUAAUGGCUGAAAGGUAGUGAAAAGCAUUGCUGAAUAUGCAUCUUUCGGUGGCUAAAAGAAAGUAUCAUCAGUACUCAGAGGAAAAAGAGAAAACAAUCUGUUGUUAAAAGUCGAGAUAGGAAGAAAAGGGGGCACAAUCAUAGUGUGCCUUAAAAUGACAAAAGAGAAGACGCAGCCUCAAAAUAUGGUUUAAAUAGUCCAGGAAGAGCCAACAAUUAGAAUCAAAAGAGAUUUAGUACCGUGUCCUGGAAGCAAUGAAGUUUUUAUGCCUUGGCACAAAAAACUGAGCAUAUUAUCAAUGAAGAGAAAUGAAUUACAUGCCAGAAUGUUGCUUGUUGUGUAGUAGCUUGUAAGUUUAUCUCAUUAAAACUGUUGUUAAAAAAGUCCUUUGUUUAUGUUAGUAUUAACAUUUACAGAAUUGUAAAAGAAUACAAAAAUAAGUAAUAACAACUGAAUUAUGAGUAAGAUUUCCAAUGCAGCAGUGCGUGUGUGCAGUGCAGUUGCAUCCUCUGACAUAUGUAAGGGGCCUAAGGCAGCCCUCAGUUCCUCUGUGUUAGCAUCCCAAGUAGCGGUACAUGAGGAAAAUCUGGCUGCCCUGAACAAACCUGUCCACGUGGGUCAGAGUAAGCCGAGCACAAGGAUUUGUCCCAUACUUCCUCGGGGCAUAAAUGGUGUGUCAUGGAAAGUAUCUUCAUCAUCUUGAGAGCUGAUGCAAUCCUCUCUCUCAUGGGACUGACAGGGACGCUGCCCAGGAGGUUCAGGCUCCCUGAGCUCAGGUUAUAAAUUGAGUGUUAGCUUUUCCUCUCCUAAACUUAAAAAUACCUGAACAGUGUUCUUAUUAAUUUUACAAAUCCUAACCUAAAAUCUUUCUUGCUUUGGUAUUCACACGACUAGUCACACUCAUCUGAAUUAGAUUAUCUUCAUGAAUUAAAGGAGCAGAACUUGAUCAUUAUUUCUGUGUCAUUCAUUAAAGUUUAGGUUAAGAAUAUCUAUCAAUAAUACAGUUCCUGCAGUUUAAAAUGAGGUGUGUGGUUUCUGAACACCUCUGAGGUGAGGCCACUCUGGUACAUACUGUAAGCAAUCUAAGUUGACAUUUAUAACCUUACCAUCUAUUUUUCUUCUAGAAGAGAAUAAUGAAUUAUGCAAAAAAUUUGAAAUGAAUUCCAGUAUACACUUCAGAGCAGCACAAAUGCUAUUUUAAAAGCCAUUCAGACUUUUUCUUCUUAGAAAAAUCUUUAGGUUUUGGAUAACUUGUUAAGAAAAUACGACGUUGUUUCAUCUUUAACCAAGGAAAAGAAUUAUCACAGUAAAUUGAAAGCAAUUCAUGAGACUCGAGCAAAAGAUGUGAUAUAAAAUGCCAAGGAAAUCACAUGAUUUCCAUUCACAUACUUUCAUUAUCUUUACACUAACAGAGAAGAAGCUACUUUAUUUCCAAAGAUAUCCUCUUAUAAUAACUCGGAUGUUAUUAUAAGUGCACGGUUGUUUUCAACUAAAGGUAAAAAUAAUUGGCUUUAUGACACCAGUCUUAGAAAAAAUCAAGGUGGGAGGAAGUCCUUUAAUGCAUGAUGUUGAAUUAUUUGGUCACAAUGGUUCAAGCUUGAGUAGUUCUGUAUUUGCUUUUCCACAGAAUCAGAACAGGGUGGGUUCACUGCACUAUUGAGAGCUCUUCGCUUCCUACACUUAGUGGCAGCUUCUUUUUAAACAAUCGAGACAUUACACUUUUCCCCAGUAGGAAAAGAAUCAACAUAGCUGCAAACAGUUAUUUAGUUUCUAUAACUGUACUCAAAAACUGGAAUGUAGAAAAUGAAAAUAAAAAUACUUGGUCCAUACUUAUAGUCCAAUUAUAUGCAACAAUUGAUGGAAUCCCAGAAAGUGCUGUUAAUGUUCACAUACAUAUAUAAUGAGAUUUAAAGUGCCUAUAUGUUAAAUAUGUAUCAUACUGAUGGGUUCUUCAUAAAUGCAUAAGAGAGAGAUUUAUUAUUCAUAUCACUUCAGGACUGUACUGGAUUCUGUUCAGUAAAAAGCAGGACAAUGUGCUUUCUUCCUCAAAGAACAUAAAGCUCCACUUAAACAAACUGGUGGGAUUCUGUACCUUUAAAUGUGAAAUGGGCUGUUUUUUGGGGCUGGGAUAGUAUGCAAAAUAUAAGGUAGCCGUAAUUUUUAAGGUUUGUGACAUAUUAUGCAUGGUUGAAACUGUUAUAUCUAUUCCUAUAUGCAUUCAAUUAAAUAACUCAUCUUCAGUGAUGUAUUCUAGUGUACUCCUGGGAACAAAUCCAAUGUCUUUAGCUAUCUAUUUUACAUGAAAGCAAUUAUUGUAAUAUCUCUAAUGUCUAAGUGGUAUUGUCAUGAGUGCCAUUUUAGCCUGGUCCAAAGGAUUUAUUUAUAUGAGUUUAUCUAUCUACUCUUCAAAUUUAUUAUGCUUUCAAGAAUAUCCACAGAGUCACAUUAGCAUUUUUGUAUCCCACAGCCAAAUGUUCAAGCAGAAUUGAAUAUGACAUAAAUAAUCAGAGCUCUCGUCUUCUGUUUACAUAAAAUGACCUCUUGCUGGUGCUUAACCUUUCCCUUUUCUCAUCCUAAGUUCCCUGCGACAGCCCAUGUGAGUUAUUUCUUCUAAUUCUCUGUUUCUCCCUUGUGCUGUGUGAUGCUAGUUCAGAUCUGCUGUAGACUACAGCCGCUGUUUUGAAAUCUCUGGGAAUGUGAAUGUUAUAGCAGUCUGCAGAAGAAAAGUUCUGUCUCAUGUUGCUGCAGAUUACCGUUAUCUUACAGCAGUAGUAAAACGUGCCCACGAGCACUGAGUGCUCAGCUGUGCCACUGUUCGACUCAGUGCAGUUAUCCUUUGUACAGUUCUGCUUUCCCAGAGGUGCAGUGGGGAUAACUGUCUAUUCCAGAGAAGUGUUUAGGCCUUAUGCACUGAUGUGAUCCUUAAUGUUACAAAACAAUAUGUCAUUUUCAUAAAUCAUUAUUAGCAUGGCCACAGAAGGUGCUAUUUUUGUGUAAAAUUCCAACCAACUGGGAGGUAGCUAAACAUCCUUAUCAAUACUGUUGUCACCGUCAUGGAUUAGUACCAGUGGCUCGCUUCUGCUAGUUGACUUUGUAUUUAACAGCCUCUGUGAGCUCUUCAACUUUGACUUGGUGAUGCUUUGGGCUCACUUUGUAAAGGGAAAAUAGACAAAAUGGAAUGACAUGGCAAAACACAUACUUGAAUGUGAAACGUAGGAAUGGGAGAUAUGCAGUGAUUCAGUUGGCAGAGUUUGGUGGGAUGACCUGGUUCUUUUUUCAUUUGGGUGAUGUUGCCAUAUGGGCAGAACAGCCUGAUUUAUUAAAGAUCUUUAAAUCUGGAGACCUUGUGUGGGAGUCUUCUGUUGGAAAAACAUGCAGUUAGCCUUUCUUCCUACAGAAGGCUGCAAACUGGAAUUCGGUCUACAGCUGAAUCAGCCUUAGUGACUCAGAAUCAAUGGGAAAUACACUUCUGUUAGCUCCUUUGAUUACCAAAAAUGUUAUAUUUUCAUUCUAUAUGCGAUGUGUAUUAUAAAUAAUAAAUGUUUUAUCUCUGAUUUCAUGCAAGAUUGUACAGCUGAAUUCCAGAUUUGUUUGCUUUUAUUUUCCUAAUAUCUGUGAGAUAAAUUCUUAACUCUAGUCUGCAGCAAGAGUGUCUUGAAUUAAGCUUCCUUGGGCUGUUCACGUUGGUGAUUUUCAACUGAAACAAUAGUAAACACACAUUGGAGUAAUCAUUAUAUAUUGAUAUAUUUUAACAUAAUGGAAAUUAUUAUUUAUUUAGUGUUGCUGAAGGGGCUAAAAUGCUAUAAAUAAACAGAAGGGAAGACGAAGACGAAGAAGGGAAGUCAAGUCUCCAAUGCUACAUUAAACAUGUUUGAAAUCUCUGCAGAAUUCAGAUGAGAAGUGAAAGCUCCCUGCUCUCUGUAUGCAGUUGUCACUAAAGUGAAGGAGGUGGCUGGUGACUGUGACCUCAUGGGUACUGUCCAGUUAGCCAUUCCUUGGUGUGGUAAAUUGAAGGCCAAGAAAAAGGUGCAUGGCAGUGAACUAUAGCAUCAAUUAAUAAUAGAUAAAGAAAGAAAAAAAUAAUAACUCAACUUUUGUGAUUUUCAGAGGAAAGCUUAACUGAAGGCUUAAGACCAAGGACAAUUCAAUUCUGCACAUAAAACAGUUGCUGCCUUCCUUUUUGCCUGGAGGCCACCGCUUGCAAUCUGCCUGCAAUUACCUGUGUCUAGAGGCAGCUUCGGGUUUACUUAGUGAGAAGGUGUUAUUUGAAGUGUGCACACAUAUGCCGCCAACCUUGAC
ensembl:lncRNA